UACAGAGGUCUCAAGCGUUGUUCGGAUUCAUUGGGCGUAAAGGGUGCGUAGGUGGCGCUGUAAGUCGGGUGUGAAAUUUCGGAGCUUAACUCCGAAACUGCAUUCGAUACUGCGGUGCUUGAGGACUGGAGAGGAGACUGGAAUUCAUGGUGUAGCAGUGAAAUGCGUAGAGAUCAUGAGGAAGACUAGUGGCGAAGGCGGGUCUCUGGACAGUUCCUGACACUGAGGCACGAAGGCCAGGGGAGCAAACGGGG
rnacentral:rRNA from 1 species